GGGGAGCUUGCUCCCUGGGUGACGAGCGGCGGACGGKUKAGUAAUGUCUGGGAAACUGCCUGAUGGAGGGGGAUAACUACUGGAAACGGUAGCUAAUACCGCAUAACGUCGCAAGACCAAAGAGGGGGACCUUCGGGCCUCUUGCCAUCAGAUGUGCCCAGAUGGGAUUAGCUAGUAGGKGGGGUAAUGGCUCACCUAGGCGACGAUCCCUAGCUGGUCUGAGAGGAUGACCAGCCACACUGGAACUGAGACACGGUCCAGACUCCUACGGGAGGCAGCAGKGGGGAAUAUUGCACAAUGGGCGCAAGCCUGAUGCAGCCAUGCCGSGKGKGUGAARAAGGCCUUCGGGUUGUAAAGCACUUUCAGCGAGGAGGAAGGUGGUGARCUUAAUACGUUCAUCAAUUGACGUUMCUCGCAGAAGAAGCACCGGYU
rnacentral:rRNA from 1 species